UUGGAGCUAGGUUAGAGCUAGGUUAGAGCUAGGUUAGCGCUAGGUAAGAGCUAGGUUAGCGCUAGGUUGGAGCUAGGUUGGAGCUAGGUUAGCGCUAGGUUAGAGCUAGGUUAGCGCUAGGUUGGAGCUAGGUUAGCGCUAGGUUGGAGCUAGGUUGGAGCUAGGUUAGAGCUAGGUUAGCGCUAGGUUGGAG